UCAGUCUCAUUACUUUAUAGUC
rnacentral:miRNA from 1 species